rnacentral:rRNA from 1 species
AUUGAACGCUGGCGGCAGGCUUAACACAUGCAAGUCGAACGAUGAUUUCCCAGCUUGCUGGGAAUGAUUAGUGGCGGACGGGUGAGUAACAUUUAGGAAUCUGCCUAGUAGUGGGGGAUAGCUCGGGGAAACUCGAAUUAAUACCGCAUACGACCUACGGGUGAAAGGGGGCGCAAGCUCUUGCUAUUAGAUGAGCCUAAAUCAGAUUAGCUAGUUGGUGGGGUAAAGGCCCACCAAGGCGACGAUCUGUAACUGGUCUGAGAGGAUGAUCAGUCACACCGGAACUGAGACACGGUCCGGACUCCUACGGGAGGCAGCAGUGGGGAAUAUUGGACAAUGGGGGCAACCCUGAUCCAGCCAUGCCGCGUGUGUGAAGAAGGCCUUUUGGUUGUAAAGCACUUUAAGCAGGGAGGAGAGGCUAAUGGUUAAUACCCAUUAGAUUAGACGUUACCUGCAGAAUAAGCACCGGCUAACUCUGUGCCAGCAGCCGCGGUAAUACAGAGGGUGCGAGCGUUAAUCGGAAUUACUGGGCGUAAAGCGAGUGUAGGUGGCUCAUUAAGUCACAUGUGAAAUCCCCGGGCUUAACCUGGGAACUGCAUGUGAUACUGGUGGUGCUAGAAUAUGUGAGAGGGAAGUAGAAUUCCAGGUGUAGCGGUGAAAUGCGUAGAGAUCUGGAGGAAUACCGAUGGCGAAGGCGGCUUCCUGGCAUAAUAUUGACACUGAGAUUCGAAAGCGUGGGUAGCAAACAGGAUUAGAUACCCUGGUAGUCCACGCCGUAAACGAUGUCUACUAGCCGUUGGGGUCCUUGAGACUCUAGUGGCGCAGUUAACGCGAUAAGUAGACCGCCUGGGGAGUACGGCCGCAAGGUUAAAACUCAAAUGAGUUGACGGGGGCCCGCACAAGCGGUGGAGCAUGUGGUUUAAUUCGAUGCAACGCGAAGAACCUUACCUGGUCUUGACAUAGUGAGAAUCCUGCAGAGAUGCGGGAGUGCCUUCGGGAAUUCACAUACAGGUGCUGCAUGGCUGUCGUCAGCUCGUGUCGUGAGAUGUUGGGUUAAGUCCCGCAACGAGCGCAACCCUUUUCCUUAUUUGCCAGCGGGUUAAGCCGGGAACUUUAAGGAUACUGCCAGUGACAAACUGGAGGAAGGCGGGGACGACGUCAAGUCAUCAUGGCCCUUACGACCAGGGCUACACACGUGCUACAAUGGUAGGUACAGAGGGUUGCUACACAGCGAUGUGAUGCUAAUCUCAAAAAGCCUAUCGUAGUCCGGAUUGGAGUCUGCAACUCGACUCCAUGAAGUCGGAAUCGCUAGUAAUCGCAGAUCAGAAUGCUGCGGUGAAUACGUUCCCGGGCCU